rnacentral:RNase_P_RNA from 1 species
GUAGUCGAUCGGUCUGUCGCUUUUUAGAGAAGAGGAAAGUCCGGACAACACAGAGUGCCCUAUUACCUAACAGGUAGCUGCUUGCGAGAGCAGAGUAAUGUAGAAGAAAAGAACCGCCUUUUUUCGGAAAGGUAAGGGUGAGAAGGUAAGGUAAGAGCUUACCGGUUCUUAUAGUAAUAUAGGAAGCCGUACAACUUAGGGGUUGCAAAAUCAUGUAUACCGGCGCAAGUAGGAUUACUCGUCCGAUGCCGGGGGGUAGAUUGCUUGAGUUUAAUGGCGACAUUAAACCCAGAUAAAUGACAGACACCUGAAUUUCAGGUACAGAAUCCGGCUUACAGAUUGGCUGCUUUU